GAUGAACGCUGGCGGCGUGCCUAAUACAUGCAAGUCGAGCGAACAGACGAGGAGCUUGCUCCUCUGACGUUAGCGGCGGACGGGUGAGUAACACGUGGAUAACCUACCUAUAAGACUGGGAUAACUUCGGGAAACCGGAGCUAAUACCGGAUAAUAUAUUGAACCGCAUGGUUCAAUAGUGAAAGACGGUUUUGCUGUCACUUAUAGAUGGAUCCGCGCCGCAUUAGCUAGUUGGUAAGGUAACGGCUUACCAAGGCAACGAUGCGUAGCCGACCUGAGAGGGUGAUAGGACACACUGGAACUGAGACACGGUCCAGACUCCUACGGGAGGCAGCAGUAGGGAAUCUUCCGCAAUGGGCGAAAGCCUGACGGAGCAACGCCGCGUGAGUGAUGAAGGUCUUCGGAUCGUAAAACUCUGUUAUUAGGGAAGAACAAAUGUGUAAGUAACUAUGCACGUCUUGACGGUACCUAAUCAGAAAGCCACGGCUAACUACGUG
rnacentral:rRNA from 1 species